UACGAAGGGGGCAAGCGUUGUUCGGAAUUACUGGGCGUAAAGGGCGCGUAGGCGGCCGAUCAAGUCAGGCGUGAAAUUCCCGGGCUCAACCUGGGGGCUGCGCUUGAUACUGAUUGGCUUGAAUGCGGGAGAGGAUAGUGGAAUUCCCAGUGUAGAGGUGAAAUUCGUAGAUAUUGGGAAGAACACCGGUGGCGAAGGCGGCUCACUGGCUCGUAUCUGACGCUCAGGCGCGACAGCGUGGGGAUCAAACAGG
rnacentral:rRNA from 1 species